rnacentral:tRNA from 1 species
GCCCAGAUGGCGGAAUUGGUAGACGCGCCAGCUUCAGGUGCUGGUUCCCGAAAGGGAGUGGAGGUUCGAGUCCUCUUCUGGGCACCA